rnacentral:ncRNA from 1 species
UGACCUCGGAUCAGACGUGAUUACCCGCUGAAUUUAAGCAUAUUAUUAAGCGGAGGAAAAGAAACUAACAAGGAUUCCCCUAGUAACGGCGAGUGAACGGGGAAGAGCCCAACACCGAAUCCCUUGGCGCAAGUCAACGGGAAAUGUGGUGUUAAGGUAGCCCUUCGUGUCAGUCUAGGCGUCUCAAGUCCACCUGAUUGUGGCUCAAGCCCAGAGAGGGUGUAAGGCCCGUAGAGACGCUCCGACUGAUUCCUGGGGUUUACCUACGAGUCGGCUUGUUUGGGAAUGCAGGCCAAAGCGGGUGGUAAACUCCAUCCAAGGCUAAAUACUGGCACGAGUCCGAUAGCGGACAAGUACCGUGAGGGAAAGUUGAAAAGAACUUUGAAGAGAGAGUUCAAUAGUACGUGAAACCGCUUAGAGGCAAACGGAUGGUGCUCAUACUGGCCUGAGGAAUUCAACUGUGACGGUGGCUGGACGAGCUGGCGUUCCGAUCUCUCUUUUGGGACGGGCGUCGGUUUGGCUAUCAGCUCCGACAUGGUGCACUUUCCUUGGUGCCUCCGCCACGACCGACGACACUGGCUACCCGCGCUGGGGUAAGGUGACAAACUGCUUCGGCAAUUUGUGUUAUAGACCCCGGCGUCGGACAUGGUUUGGCCAGGACGUCGAGCUUGCGGCGCCCGCUCCUUGUGGGCUCGCAUGUUGGCUAGCUUGGCUGCGCCGAUGCUUGCACUGGACAACCAGUACAGGUGACGGUUGUGGUCUUGUCUCUAGUUGGCCUCUGCGAGUUUGGCGCCUAUAGUCUGUGGUGUACUUGUGGGUAGACUAUCCGACCCGUCUUGAAACACGGACCAAGGAGUCUAACAUGUGCGCGAGUCAUGGGGAUUCUACGAAACCCAAAGGCGCAGUGAAAGUAAAGGCCUGCUUCUCGUAGGCUGAGGUGGGAUCUCGUGCAUCGCGAUUGGCGAGCGCACCACCGGCCCGUCCUAUCUGUCUCUGUCAGUGGGGCGGCGCAAGAGCGUACACGUUGGGACCCGAAAGAUGGUGAACUAUGCUUGCGCAGCUCGAAGUCAGUGGAAACACUGAUGGAGGAGCGCAGCGUUUCUGACGUGCAAAUCGAUCGUCAAACGUGAGUAUAG